AUUGAACGCAGGCGGAAUGCUUUACACAUGCAAGUCGAACGGCAGCACGGACUUCGGUCUGGUGGCGAGUGGCGAACGGGUGAGUAAUACAUCGGAACGUGCCCAGUCGUGGGGGAUAACGUAGCGAAAGCUACGCUAAUACCGCAUACGAUCUAAGGAUGAAAGCGGGGGAUCGCAAGACCUCGCGCGAUUGGAGCGGCCGAUGGCAGAUUAGGUAGUUGGUGGGGUAAAGGCCUACCAAGCCGACGAUCUGUAGCUGGUCUGAGAGGACGACCAGCCAAACGGGGACUGAGACACGGCCCAGACUCCUACGGGAGGCAGCAGUGGGGAAUUUUGGACAAUGGGCGCAAGCCUGAUUCAGCCAUUCCGCGUGCAGGAUGAAGGCCCUCGGGUUGUAAACUGCUUUUGUACGGAACGAAAAGGCUCUGGUUAAUACCCGGGGCUCAUGACGGUACCGUAAGAAUAAGCACCGGCUAACUACGUGCCAGCCGCCGCAGUAA
rnacentral:rRNA from 1 species